rnacentral:rRNA from 1 species
UACGUAGGGGGCAAGCGUUGUCCGGAAUUAUUGGGCGUAAAGAGCGCGUAGGCGGUCCGAUAAGUCGGCUGUGAAAGUCAGGGGCUCAACCCUUGAAAGCCGGCCGAUACUGUCGGACUAGAGUCCGGAAGAGGCAAGUGGAAUUCCCGGUGUAGCGGUGAAAUGCGCAGAUAUCGGGAGGAACACCAAUGGCGAAGGCAGCUCGCUGGGACGGUACUGACGCUGAGACGCGAAAGCGUGGGUGGCAAACAGG